GAGGAAGCCAAAGAUGCUUGUAGGCAUUGGUGGAUGAAAGAAGCCUUAGACAUACUAGUCGUGCGUCUAACGUCACUGCAACAACAAAAGGAAGAAAAUGAUGUACCCUCAUGCGCUCUAAGCUAAGGGAUGAUUAAAUUAAAUUUUGUACAUGAUAACCUAAUACUGCUGAUUGAACAAAUGAGCUAGUUAGGGCAAAAU
rnacentral:misc_RNA from 1 species